rnacentral:rRNA from 1 species
AUGGAGCGGCGCCCCGACGCGAAUGGCGACAUCGUCCUGGAGAUGGCCCCUCCCGGCGCCGACGGGCACCAGCAGGGCGGCGAUGGCGGCACAAGCGGUGGUCGGACCCUGAGCUUCAGCCAGGCGUACAAGAUGCGACACCGGACACCUCAGGCGUUCACGGUGUCACAGACGCUGCUGCUGAGCUUCCAGUCGCUGGGCAUCGUGUACGGCGACCUGGGCACGUCGCCGCUCUACGUGUUCCCGUCCGUGGUCCUCCCCGGCGCCGGCGAGCGGGACUUCCUCGGCAUCCUCAGCCUCAUCCUCUGGACGCUCACCCUCAUGAGCCUGGUCAAGUACGUGCUCAUCGUGCUCCGCGCCGACGACCACGGCGAGGGCGGCACCUUCGCGCUCUACUCGCUGCUGCGGCAGCACGUCAACUUCAAGGGCGGAACGCCGGGGCAGUUCACGCGGCUGCCCUCCGACCUCCACCUCAGGUUCCACGGCAAGAAGAGGCGGUCCGAGCCGUCCCGCGUGCAGAGAUUCCUGGAGGGCAGCGCCGCCGCGCAGUCGGUCCUCACCUACGUCGUGCUCGUCGGCACCUCCAUGGUCAUGGGCGACGGCGCCCUCACCCCCGCCAUCUCAGUUCUUUCGGCCGUUCAAGGGAUCCAAUCGAGAUCUCCCAAGAUCGAACAAAAGCAUGUGGUGAUGCUGUCGGUGGUGAUCCUGCUGCUGCUCUUCCUUUUCCAGCAGAUGGGCACCAGCAGGGUCAGCUUUUCCUUCUCCCCGAUCAUGCUCCUCUGGUUCGCCUCCAUCGCCACCAUCGGCCUCUACAACAUCAUCGUCUACUACCCGCCGGUUCUCAAGGCCGUCAACCCCUACUACAUCUACUGCUACUUCGCCAGGAACGGGGCCGCCGGCUGGGAGCAGCUCGGCGCCGUAAUCCUCUGCAUCACAGGCGCUGAAGCUAUGUUUGCCGACUUGGGUCACUUCAACAAGAGAUCAAUUCAGGUGGCCUUCUCGACGGUGGUGUACCCGUCGCUCAUCCUCGCGUACGCCGGUCAGGCAGCGUACCUGAUCAAGAACCCCGCCGAGCUGAGCACGGCGUUCUACAGCAGCAUCCCGGGUGCCCUGUUCUGGCCCAUGUUCGUGGUCGCCACCCUCGCCGCCAUCGUCGCCAGCCAGUCGCUCAUCUCCGCCAGCUUCUCCAUCAUCCGGCAGUCCAUCGUGCUCGACUACUUCCCACGGGCCACCGUGCGGCACACCUCUGACAAGUACGAGGGCCAGGUGUACUGCCCCGAGGUGAACUACCUCCUCAUGCUCUUCUGCGUCCUCGUCACCAUCGGCUUCCAGGGCGGCCCGGAGAUCGGCCAUGCCUUCGGUGUAGCGGUUAUAUGGGUCAUGCUCAUCACCACCGCGCUCAUGACGGUGGUCAUGGUGGUGAUCUGGGACGUGCACCCGGCGCUCGCCGCCACGUUCUUCGCCGUCUACGUGGCCGUAGAGGGUCUGUACAUGAGCUCGCUGAUGAACAAGAUGGCGCAGGGCGGGUGGGUCCCGUUCGCCAUCACCGCCUUCUUCCUGGUGAUCACCGUGUCCUGGACCUACGGCCGGAAGAAGAAGGGCGAGUACGAGGCGGGCCACAUGAUCUCCUGCAACGAGCUCGCCGCGAUCGUGGCCAGGUCGGCGCGCGUGCCAGGGGUCUGCUUCUUCUUCACGGACCUGAUGAACGGCAUCCCGCCCAUCGUGCGCCACUACGCGGAGCACACCGGCUGCCUCCGCGAGCUGCUGCUGUUCGUCACCGUCAGGAGGCUGCCGGUCACCUCGGUGCUGCCCGAGGAGCGGUUCCUCGUCGCGCCGGAGGAGGAGGUGCCACCGGGGGUGUACAGGUCCGUGGUGCAGUACGGGUACAUGGACAAGCAGGACAUGGAAGGCGAGGAGUUCCUGGAGUCGGUGCUCGCGGCGCUCAAGGAGAUCGCCCGCACAGCCGAGGAGGCCGCCAUGAUGGACCGAGCCUGCAGGAGCGGGGUGAGCGUCGUGAUCGGGAGGACGAUCCUGACGGCGAGCGGCGGGAAUCGCGUGCAUGGAUGGUUCAGGCGAUUCGUGGUCAAUCACAUGUACAGGUUCCUGCAGAAGAACUUCAACUCGGGCGUUUCCAACCUCAAGUUAGAUCAUGACAAGACGAUGCAGGUUGGAAUGAACUAUAAGAUCAAGCUAGAUUAA